rnacentral:rRNA from 1 species
UACAGAGGUGGCAAGCGUUGUUCGGAAUUACUGGGCGUAUAGGGCGAGUAGGCGGCCUUCUAAGUCAGACGUGAAAUCCCCCGGCUUAACCUGGGAACUGCGUCUGAUACUGGGAGGCUCGAGUAUGGGAGAGGGAUGUAGAAUUCCAGGUGUAGCGGUGAAAUGCGUAGAUAUCUGGAGGAAUACCGGUGGCGAAGGCGGCAUCCUGGACCAUUACUGACGCUGAAUCGCGAAAGCUAGGGGAGCAAACGGG